GCAGUUCUCUGCUGGGAGCCUAGGGAGGAAGGACUGUGUCCCUGAAGGGCCAAGAGAACUGCCAGCACCCUGGACAGAGCAGUGCAGCAAACAGGGACCGAGGGAGCCAGAGACAGCUCCGGGCUGGCUGCUGGGGGGUUUGCAGACUGAGGCCCUGAUACAAGGGUUAAAGAGGGUGCUGGAGCCACGCGGGAAGUGGCUAGACCGUGAACUGCAGUUUGCCACUGGCAGGAAGUGGCUGAACAGUGGAUUGCAGGUCCCCCGGUAGGGAGGUGCACAGUGUGUGGCAGGGCCGGAGGGCUGUGUGGCUGAAGAGGACGCCACGGUCUUUGGAGAGAUGUGGGUCCAAGAGCAGGAGUCACGGCAGCAAUGCACCACCUGAAGGGGGCGCACCCAACUACAGAGCUAAUUCAGGCUGAGGAGGUGCCAGAGCGAGUCGGUGCGCUUUAUUCUGGAGUUGCUGUGGAACAGUGCUGGGAGAACCUCGAAGAGCUCAGAAUUCAGCUUCAGCUUGGUGGAAAGUAUCCCAACGGUCAGCUCUCUGUCUGACCCUCCUGAGUCUGCGGAAUUGGAUUGGAAAAGCUCGGAGCCUGUUCCUGAGAGAUUCCCAGCACAUCAACUUCCACUGGCAGUUGGAAAUACCGGGUGAACGGCAUGAACGGCCUUACUUGCAGCAUUUUGGGACUUCCAGGCAUUGGGCAGGGUGUCCUAGUCAAGGCAAUGCUAUUAGGAAGGCCUGCACAUUCCAGAGAUGAACUGGCCCCGUGCAUUGGCUAGAUGCAAUGUUCCUCAUUAAUGAAAAGGAAAGCUGGGGACCACCUCCAAUCACCGAGAUCUUCCAGUUUGAAGAGCCCAGUGCUUCCACCAUGGUUUGGCAGAGUUAUUUCGGGCCAGGGAGUUGAAAAGUUUGUCUUCAUUCCCUUGUGAAAAAGUCAUCUACAGAGGCCCAGAUUGUGACUGGCCCUGCCUGGGUGCACAGAGGACUGGGGGUAGUGGAACAAAGGGCCUUCUCUCUUCUUCCUCUGCUGCACAGGGGCCAGCUAAAAUCUGAGCAAAAGCAGAGGCUGGUGCUAGCCUACUCAGAGGUGAUGGGGUGAUCUUGGGGCAUAUUCCCUCCCGCACAGCAGCCAGCAGAGCUCCAGCGAACGCGUGUUGCACCCUUCCAAAGGGCGUCGGAGCUGGAGCUACAGCGUGUGCUCCCCCCGUGCCCAGAAGGAAUCCUGGCUGACUCAUCCAGAAUUCCUCCAGCUGCUCCCACCGCUGCGCGGCCCCUCCGUGCCCCCACAACACAGGGCCGCGCCUUAAAGCCACAGCAAGCCCUAAUGUCUCAUACAGGUGAUUCCCUGGGGUGGAAUGGAAUGUUACUGCUGGCUGGGGAGUUCUUCCUGCCGGGUAGCUCACAUUACUACAAUCCUACCCCGGCCGUCCCCCUUUUCUUUUUAAGGGUGUGGUGUGUUUGUAAGUUUUUUGUGUUUAUCAAGAAGUCGAUUGUGUAAAUAAAAUUGAGGCGGUGUGUGCCAAAUAGUUGGGCUGUGAUUUCCUGGAGGGGAGCCAAGGCGGUGUGUGGGAGCAUGCCAGUGUUCAUACGUUCGCUUUGCUAAGAAAUGUGGCAGGCAUGAAGCCCACAGUCAAGAAGCUCCUCCAGCCUGACGAAUCUUUAACCCUUUCGGAGGCCCACUCUGGUGCACGUCUGUGGUAGCAGGACAGGCAGCCUGGGGCAGGCUGGAGGUAAUUUUGCACAUUCAUGGAGACAAGAGGUUUAGGCUUAAACUGUGUGAUCAAAAGCCCACCACAAUCAAUGGGGGUCUUUCCAUUGAUUUCCCUAGGCUUUGGAUCAGGCCCUAAAUCGAUACAAUGCAGGUUUCACGGCGGUAUUGCAAGCCUGGUGUUUUUCUGGCUAGGAUUCAUAGGCCCCAAAAGUGAACAUAGGAAGAGCCAAACAGGCGGAUGGGAUGGGAGGAAUAAAUGACAGGGGAGAGCUCAAAGGUACCUUUGUGUAAAUGAGAAUUAGGAACAGUCAUUUUAAUGACUUUAUUCCAUAUUUACAACUGUGUUACCAGAAUUUUGCCCUGUUUCUUUAUUACAUGAACUCUCUAGCGUUUCUUGCUAGAAAUUCUUAUGCAGAAAUCACUGAACAGUUUGAGAAUCUUUUCUACAAGAUGCAGACUGGAGCAUUCGAGUGAAAUCCUGUGGCCAUUAACAUGAAAGGGAGUUUUGUCAUUGACUUCAGCAGGGCUAGGAUUUCACUCCUGGUGUUUGUUUUGGUAUUUCCCCCCCCCAGAUCACAAACCUCCUUCCUCAGAACAUGUCAUGUCUCUGUUAAUUCUGUAGGCAAUUGCAUGGAAAACAUGUGUGAACUGAAUAAAUGCCCCCAAAUCCUG